UAAUACGGAGGGAGCUAGCGUUUUUCGGAAUUACUGGGCGUAAAGAGCGCGUAGGCGGCUAAUUAAGUUGAAAGUGAAAGCCCAAGGCUUAACCUUGGAACUGCUUUCAAAACUAGUUAGCUUGAGAUCGGUAGGGGACAGUAGAAUUCCUAGUGUAGAGGUGAAAUUCUUAGAUAUUAGGAGGAAUACCGGUGGCGAAAGCGACUGUCUGGACCGUUUCUGACGCUAAGGCGCGAAAGCGUGGGGAGCAAACAGGAUUAGAUACCCUGGUAGUCCACGCUGUAAACGAUGAGUGCUAGAUAUCGGGACCUUUUUUGGUUUCGGUGUCGUAGCUAACGCGUUAAGCACUCCGCCUGGGGAGUAAGGUCGCAAGAUUA
rnacentral:rRNA from 1 species